UCCCUGAAGGUCUAAUGGUUAGGACUCCACGUUCCCAGUGCAGAGGGUCUGGGUUCAAUCCCUGGUCAGGGAA
rfam:TPA: Bos taurus chromosome 21, whole genome shotgun sequence.